CACUGCUCGUCGCCGGAAAGCCACCGCCGUCGUCGUCCCGACUUCGCCGCCGUUCGGAUCUCGUCGCCGGCCGUCGUUCGUCGUUGUUCUUUGCACCGGUGAGUUCGCGUCGUUGUCCUCUCCGCGUUGGUGCUCUCGGAUAGCCCGGCCGAGCUCUCUAUCGCCGGCGGAGUUGUGGUCCAGUGCCAUGGCUGCGAUGACAUCAUCGUGAUGUCAUAAAGCCCUUUUCCCUUCUAAAAAUAAAUGUUAAAAUCAGUUUAAUCUUGUAAAAUUCAUAACUAAUUCAUAUGAAGUCGGAAUGAGGCCGUUCAAGUCUCUAAAUUCAUCUAAAAUCAUGAUCUACAUGUUUGUUUACUUUUUAUGUACUAUUUAUUUGGUUUUUAUUAGUCUUUUUCCUCGUUUUGCGUGUUAGCUCGUCGUUUCCGUCGUUUCAAAGGUUCGCGUGUACGUUGGAAGUGUUCAAGAAGAUUAAUUGAAGAGCGAUUAUUGCAAGGCAAGUCACACAGAUCCUAAACACAAUCCUUUGAGCAUAUUGAUCCUAUAUUUAAAUUCUCUAUUUAUUUCAACUGUGCAUUUAUUUUCGAAUGUCACCGGGUGGUGUGAACCUAUUUCUUUGUUAUGGCCAAUUUGCAUUGAUUACUUUAUUCCUUAAUACCUUGGUUAACAAAUUGAUUAGCUUGAACCUUAUAUAUUGGUUUGGUUCAGCUAAAUGCUAUAUAUAUAUAAUUGCUUAGCCAUGCUUAGAAACAUUAUCACAUAAUUGGGAUAACUAAUGUUACACUAUCACUUAUGAUUAUAUUUAAUGGUAGCUCACGAUGGUUAAUCGUGUUAUGAUAAUUAAUUGAUAACUAAAACUUGACAAUGGUGGGUUGUGAGCACAUGGUUUUGAAGGUCGUGCUCAUGACAAUUAAGGACCGGUUCGCGAGCUACUGUUGUGAAACAUUAACCGUACCAACCACAAGCCAGCAUGGGCAACGGCUUUACCUUCUUUAUAGCAUGAUUCAUUGCGGGGCACCAGACUGAGAAGCGGCGAGAAGUCCGUGGGGGUCGCUGGGGAGUCCAUGCCUCUGGUUAUAUUUAUAGAGGGGGUGAUUAUGAUCCAGGAAUGGUGCACUGUGGUGAGUUGUGUUGUGCAGGGGGUAUUGUCAUAGCCUCUAUUCGGGUACUUUCCAGUAUUGUGACGUAUGGUAGACAUGAUGUUGAGGCUGUGUCUUGUGGGUACAGUGGUACACCUCUGGCCAGAGUAAAACUAUUCGAAUAGCCGUGCCCGCGGUCAUGGGCGGGUUGAGCAAUGUUUUUCGUGAUUAGUCUCACACCUCUCACAAUAAUUAUGGAUGUUAUAACUGGUAAUAAUUUGCUUAGCUCCUGGUAUGGAGUUAGAUCUGUACAGUCGGGUAUGGUUGUUCAGGAUGGUUGGGCCUGAGCAGCAUGGGUGUGCUGUUCAGUGUUGAUUAAAAUUGAUGAUUAAUUACUCUACUGUUUUACUUCUAAAUGUUUGCUAAAUGCUGUUUUUGCAAAUGAGACUAUAUUAUGCCAUCAUUUGGUAUCCUUGUGCACUUACAUAUUUGCUGUGUGGCUUGUUGAGUAUUUCAUAUGCUCAUUCUUGCAAUAAUCAAUCAACCUCAGUUGAAGAAAAAAGAUCCAGAAGGAGAAGACGUUUGGCUUAUACCCCAGUUGAGUUGCCUGUGGGAGUGGAGCUGAAGCCAUCGCUAGACCGUUAUUCCGCUGCUGUUGUUUUUCUUUUCUUUUGUAAGUAUGUAACGUUAUUAUUAUGAUGGAUUUGUAUAUUAAAUUGUCAGUUUGUGUACCUCGGCUCAUUCCUGGACGAGGAUUUUAUGCACAAAUUAGUUCGGAAAUUAUUAGUGAAUUUCCGGGCGUGACAUCCCAUGCCCUGCUCGAGCUCGUCGGCGCGAGGAGAAACCACCACCGCUUGCCUCUCUCCUCUGUCCUGCCGCCGCCGCUCACUGUCCACACUCCCACGCCAUGCUCAAGCUCGUCGGCGCGAGGAGAAACCGCCGCUCGCCUCUCUCCUCUGUCCCGCCGCCGCCGCUUGCCGUCCACACUCCCACGCCAGAUCCAACCACAACUCGAGCUCCCGCCACUCCCUUCGCCGACGGCUGGGGCGAAACGCGGCAACGUUGGGCGCGGUGGUCGACGGCAAGCGCCUGGUCGGGAGGCCAGAUCUGGUCGGCCGUGUCGUCGCCGGGGUCCUUGUCAGCGGCCGCUCCACCACAUCGUGCCAUCGCCAACCUCUACCCAUCCCCUCCCUCUCUCUAUGCUUCGACGACGAUGCCGUCGCGGCGGCGGUGGCGGCGGCGGCGGUUGUUGUGCGCGGGUUCAUCUUGCUUUGCUCCGGCGGAGGGAGGAGUCCUCGCCGGCGCCAUCCAGGUUCGUCACCGCCGCUCGCCCAUCGUCGUCCCUGGUGAGGGGCAAGAAGGGGGAAUUGUGGAGAGGGAAAGGAAAGAAAACGUGGGGACCUCAGUGAAAAGCACAGAGAGUGCUAGAGCCGCGCGUUCCCCUCCUAGGGGUCACGCCUCCCUCUAGGAGGACGGCUCGGAGACGUUCUCGGGACGACGUGAGUGAAGACACGACUCAAGGGUACGCAUUGCUGAUGCCCUUAUUACAGCAUGAUUAAGGCCAUGCUUGUUUCAGCUUAAGAUUAUAAUAAGCCCGCAUAGGAUAAGCUGUUAGCUGUCUAUUUCUCUAGAUUAUUAGCUGUUUGUUAGUUGUUAGCCACCCAAUAAUCUAAAAAAACACCUUUAGAGUGGAUUAUCAUAUUAUAGUAAUCUGGCUUAUAGAUUGUAGUAAUAUAUCAUAAUAAGCUAUCUGUUUGUUUCAACUUACUCCUAAUAAUUCAGAUUAUAAUAAUCUUAAGCUAAAUAAAACAAUGCCUAAGUAUUUCUAUAAAUAAAAGAACUAAAAAAAUAAAAAUAGAUUAGCGUUUUUUAGAUAAUAAAAAUAGAUUAGCAUGGUUUUUGCAAAGCAACUUUUCUAUUGAAAAAUAUUUGAAAAAACGAUCCGUUUAGCAGUUAGACAAGCGUGUGCGUGGAAAAUAGGAGCAUAAGUUGGGAAAGGUUGGUGUGGAAGGAAGCCUAACCCUUUCUCCUGGCAUUUCUCUUGGCCCGGUGAAGCUUAAAAUGUCCCAAACAAUGUGAAAAUUAUGAGCUGUGCAAAAUGAACCAAGUAGUGACUAGUGAAAGCACCGUUGAGCAGGGCUUACAAAUCCGUUUCUGGAGGUGGGUGCGAACCCCCAUCGAAUUCACGAAAUUCGUUGAGUGCUAAUAAUGCUCGAUCAAACCGAUAAGAAAAAUGUACACGAAAUUUGAAUCAAGAAUGAAGUUCACUUGUUUUCCAGCAAAAAAAAAGAUGUGUUUUUUAAGCUGAAGUAUUUUUGCUCAUUUUUUAUCCAAAUUAAAAGGUUUCCAGGAAAAUUGUAUAUAAUACAUGCAAACAAUUUCAGGUACCUAUUAAUCCAAGAUAAACUCACGGAAUUGAAGGUGGGACAUAACUAUCUAAAGGUAACUACUAUAUAUAUAUAUAUAUAUAUAUAUAUAUAUAUAUAUAUAUAUAUAUAUAUAUAAACAGUGCAAGCAUCGUUUACAUGCCAUCUUCGUAAAUGACAAAAUGCUCUAGUGCUCUACUUGUACCAUAACCGUUUGAGUAAAUUUCAGAAAACUGCAACUUUAAUGAUAAAACUAUCAGUUUGCUGCAAUAUUAGUGACAUGUUUCAGUUUGUUGUAACAAUAAUAUGUGAAAUUAUCACAAAAAUAUAACUUUUACGUUAUAUGCUGCGGUGAAAGUUGCAGUUCUAUGAUAAUUUCCCACGAUGUUGUUGCAGCAAAUUAAAACAUGUCGUUAAUGUUGCAGCAAACUGGGUGAGUGUGCGCACGUUGUGAGCGCCUGCGUUUGUACUGUGUUUCUAAAAAAAACUGAUAGUUUUGUCAAUAAAGUUACAGUUUUAUAAAAUUUACUUUCGCCAUUUUCUUUUCUCGAGACAUGUCAAAACCAUAUUUCGUCUAAUCGCUCGUAAUUUUUAACCAAUAAACGAGAUUGUUAAAAUUAGCGUACCUAUCUUUCCUUUAAUUUCAAUCACUUUUUUCUCAAUGCCUCUCCUAUAUGUAAGUAAUAUAUGUACAUAUGUUUAUAUCUUUCCUAUCUCCUCUUUUAUGUACAUACUAAAAUAUUUUUAAUACAAUACAAAUAUUAAAACUUAAUUAUAGUGUAAUUACAAUGUACGUAAACGUAGGUAUUAUACAGAAAAAUGAUUUUACUUUUUUUAUAAAUAGUAUGGCGCCACAAAUCUAGCUACUCCCUAAAUUUUCUCGUAUAUGCUAUUCUAACAUAGUUUUUGGUGCCGUUAUCAGAUGCUCCGUUUUAGGGUUAAUUGGAUCAUGCCAUUACAAAUAUGCCGAUUAAGAUAAAUGCCAUUAUAAUUUGUCUAUUCCUAUCCAUACCAUUCGAAUUCACCCAAAAUUGGAACCUUGUCAUCGCCAUCAUGAUUUUGGUUAUCAUAUAGGCCAAAAUAACCCUAGGCGUGGGGCCAACAUAUCAGUUCCAUCCUCUUCCUCAAUCCUCUCUUCUUCUUUCUUCCCCAUCUCUCUCCACCGCGUUUCAAAUGUGGCAGCUGGUGAGAAGAGCGCGCCGGUGAGUAUGUCAGUGGCAGCGAUAACGAUAGCAGCGAUGUGACCAUCUCUCACGUCCACGGCUCCUCCUCAAACUCCUCCUGUGACGCCGACGCUGCUACCAGUGUACAAGAUCAAGACACGGCGUCACGAUGAUGUGCGAGGUCCUUGUCGCCGCCACCACGUUCACCCGCAGCACCACCUCUUAGACUGCAUUGGGCACCUCAUGAAAAGUAUGCCACGCACUGUUACGUCGCGCCGACGUUGUUGACAAGCAACCCAACGUCGAGCCUCUCCACGGCCAACACCACCCCUGCCACGCCGUUGGACAUCUCCUCGCCACCACUAUCGUCGUCACCUUGGGGCGGCGAGGUCGAACACCACGGUCCUCACCGUUGCACUUUGGCGCGCCAGCGCAGACCUCCUUGGAGACCCCGGACAGCUUCCUGGGGUUCUACCCUAUGAGCCCCAAUGCCACCGCGUGAUCGAUGUUGUCCGUGGCGCCAGUGACCAUCGCCCACUCGCCACACCACCGGCACAGAUCCUUCUCCUGCCAGAAGAACGCGGGUGGAGGCACAUGAGGAACAUCCCUGCCUACAUGACCGUUGCAUGCUGGCCGACGAUGACCAGCGCCACAAACUACAGAGGCGUUAUCGGUGCCGGAUCUCUUGCCUCCACCGCAGACUCCACCAUGUUCUCUUCUCAUCAACUUCGGCGACUGAAUAGCUUGCUAUAUCGGGGCAUCCCGCCGCCAUGUGGCACGAGGCGGUUCGCCGUGGUGCCGUGCGCCUCCUCCUCCGUGGCCCCAAGCAUUAGGGGUGGGCGUACAGUCAAACCGAAAAAUUCGGUCUCGGUCUUUAGUCUUUUAGAAUUUUUGGUCAUCUAAAGUUGGAAAUCGAUUGGUCUUGAAAAAUAAUAAAGACUGAGAAAAUCAGUCUCGGUCUCGGUAAUGACCAAAAUUUUCAAAAGAUCCAAAUUAAUCUGGCCAAGUCCUCAAUAAGUUCCAUAUAAAGAAAUUAUACACAUAAAAAUCACACACCCAAAUCAUAAAUCAAGACUCCAUUAUCAUGGGCCGUAGAUCGAAGCAUGAUGGAGGCAAAAAUUGGGUUUAAUUGGGUUGCUAGACCUUAAUAGGCGUAUUGGGGCAAACUUCAGUUUGUUCGGUCUAUUCGAUUAACCGAAGGUACUAACCGAAUUGAUAGAACACAGUUUUGCCUUUGAACACUUGAGACUGAACUAGUGACCUAAUUUUUUGGUCUCGGUUUUUUCAUCUCGGUCCCAGUCCUUUGGUUUGGUUUUCCGGUCUAGUCUUUUUCUGUCCACCGCUACAAGCAGCAUCGGCGGAGGGGGCACGACUUCCCCUUGUGCGAACUCGAAGAGAAGAAGAAAAGAAAAGGAGGAAGGAGGAGGAAGGAAAAAGGAUGUGAUGGAAAACGUGGCAGUAGUGGCAUGGAUCAAAUUUUGACGGUUUUGAAUGACGUGAAUACAAAUAAACGAACAGUAGCGACAUUUAUCUAAAAUGAUAUAUUUGCAUUGGCAUGAAUCCAACUAACCCUUUGUUUUAUGGCUAAAUUUUCCACAAGUCAAAUUACCACAAGUGGUUCCUACCAAAUUGAUGGCCAUAAGUAUACGUCGCAAAGCCGUAACAUGUAUAAGAUAUAACAACCGAAAGUGUGCCUACCAUUUGGUUAAGAACAAUAGCUCAACUUUGGUUUAGCUCGGAACUCAAACAAACCUCUCACAAAAUUUAUAGCAUGUCUAAGAUUUAACGUGAGCUAAAAAAAAACUAAAUACAAAGUUGACAUGUCCUAGUUGCUAUAUAUUGGUAGCUGUUGGUAUGGAUCAAGUGGAGUUAUAUAAGAACUUCUUGAUAUAAAUAAAAAAUUAUAUUUAUUUGGGAAAUAAUUUUUCAAAGCUCGUACCUUAACAAACCAAGGAUAGGUUGUUAAACAAAUGUCUCACACCCCCUCUUCAACCAUAUCCAAUAAAAUAAAUUAAAAAAUAUUUUUAGAUAAUAGUGCAAGUACAAUUUACAUGCCAUCUUUAAUUAUUAUUAUUAUGUAGCUGGAUUAGUAUAUCACAACCGCCCCCUUGAUCCAAGACAUAUCUAAGAAACAAUGUUAUCUCUAAUCGGUUGCAUCUUAAUAAAAGCAUUACGCUGACAUAUUUUAUUUGCAGCUAAACACUAGCUGUCCAUGUUGGAAUUAAUGAAUGGGCCUUAACCCACUCGAAGAUUAAUUCUUUGGAAAAUCACAAAAGUCCACCUCAUGGGAUGGCAUGCAUGUGAAGUUUAGUACCACCUUGCUUAUUCUAGGAGAGGGGGACCUCCUUAAAAGGGAGGAUGCCCUCCUAGCCACUUGAAGCAUGUGUGGUGGAGAGAAGAGGGGAAACAUGCGCGCGCUCGCUCGCCUCGCCGGGCCGGGCCGGCAACGCGCGUGCACGACGUACGCGUCGAAUGGUCCGAAAAAUUGGCUCCUCACCCUUGCGCAGAUGCAGCCUCCUUUUGCAGUUUUGUUUUGCUGCAAAUUCGGAUUCGUUUUUGUUUUGGAAACGUUCCGAAAAAUCCGGUGCGUGCAAACGGCGUGGAGUCCGGAUAAGUUACGCGCGACUUAUCCGGUUCGGUUACGCGCAGUAGAGAUCGUGCGGGCGCCUUGAUCAAGCGACCCUUCUCUAUAUAAACCGACUUGCCGUCUUCACGCAACACUUGCGAUAUCAAUCUAGGGUUUGUCUCCUACUCUGUACUGCGCCGUCGCUCGUAGACUACUCCAUCCCGCUCGCCGGCGUGCACCGGCGAUCGGGAGAGCAGGUCUCCGGAACCUCUGCCUUCGACGUUCUGCACCGGGAGAAGGCGGCAAUAAGGUUUUUGGGAAGCGCUUCGCGCGACUGCUCCCUGUUCGUUCGCGACGGCUCGCCUUCCUCUUCGCUCGCGUGUUUCGUGCCUUCGUAGACACCUGCGAAAAGUUUCGACCAAGCAACCGGUCUUUCCGUCACCUCGGUACGUGUUCAAUAUGUUGCGCAUAUUUGAUCUGUUCAUGUUGUACUGUGUAGUUUACAUGUAUAGAUCUAAUGAUGCGUUCAUGCUAGUUUUCAUCUGUAAUGUCAUGAUUUAUUUAUGGAAUAGAUUAAAUCAUUAUAUGUCUAUAAUCUCAACAAUCCAAAAACCUUAUCAUAGGCACUGUGAUUUUACUAUGGCUGGUUUUGCCGAUGCACUGAGGCCGGAUAAAUUCACCGGUGUGAAUUUUAAGAGAUGGCAGAUCAGGGUCACUCUGUGGCUGACAGCUAUGAAAUGCUUCUGGGUGAGUACUGGCAAACCUGAAGGAGUUCUUACUGCUGAACAGCAGAAGCAAUUCGAGGAAGCCACUACUCUCUUUGUGGGAUGCAUUCUUAGCGUUCUUGGCGAUCGUCUGGUCGAGGUGUAUAUGCAUAUGACCGACGCUAAGGAGUUGUGGGAUGCACUGAAUACUAAAUUCGGUGCUACUGAUGCUAGCAAUGAUUUGUAUAUCAUGGAGCAGUUUCAUGACUACAAAAUGGCUGACAACCGUUCUGUAGUCGAACAGGCUCAUGAGAUACAAACCAUGGCUAAGGAACUCGAACUCCUUAAGUGUGUCUUACCCGACAAAUUUGUGGCCGGGUGCAUUAUUGCAAAACUACCUCCAUCUUGGAGGAGUUUCGGUACUGCACUCAAACACAAGAGACAGGAAUACUCCGUUGAGGGGUUGAUUGCGUCUCUUGAUGUUGAGGAGAAAGCUCGGGAAAAAGAUGCCGCGUCUAAGGGCGAUGGUGGGCAGUCCAGUGCCAAUGUUGUGCACAAGGCCCAGAACAAGAGCAAGGGGAAAUACAAAGCUCAGCAGACCACCAACUUCAAGAAGCAGAAGAAGAACAACAACAAUCCUAAUCAGGAUGAGAGGACUUGCUUUGUGUGUGGCCAAGUUGGUCAUCUGGCUAGGAAGUGUCCACAGCGCAAGGGGAUGAAGGCACCUGCAGGGCAGACUUCUAAGUCUGCUAAUGUGACCAUUGGCAACACUGGAGAUGGAAGCGGGUAUGGUAAUUUACCUACUGUUUUUUCAGUUAAUCAAUCUACUAAUUGGUGGGUUGAUACUUGGGCCAAUGUACAUGUUUGUGCUGACAUCUCAUUGUUUUCUUCUUAUCAGGUCGCACGGGGUUCCACCGUCCUAAUGGGGAAUGGGUCACAUGCUUCUGUUCAUGGUGUUGGCAUGGUAGAUCUGAUGUUUACUUCGGGAAAGAUCGUGCAGCUGAAGAACGUGCAGCAUGUCCCUUCUAUCGACAGGAAUCUUGUUAGUGGCUCCCGUCUGACUAGAGACGGAUUUAAGUUGGUUUUUGAGUCUAAUAAAGUAGUCGUGUCUAAACAUGGAUAUUUUAUUGGUAAAGGUUAUGAGUGCGGAGGCCUGUUCCGCUUUUCCCUUUCUGAUUUCUGCUAUAAGUCUGUGAACCAUAUUUGUGGCAGUGUGGAUGAUGAGGCUAAUGUUUGGCAUUCACGUUUAUGUCAUAUUAAUUUUGGCUUGAUGUCUCGGCUUUCCAGCAUGUGUUUAAUUCCUAAGUUUUCCAUUGUCAAAGGUUCUAAGUGCCAUAGUUGUGUGCAAUCGAAGCAACCUCGCAAGCCUCACAAGGCUGCCGAGGAGAGAAACUUGGCACCACUAGAACUCCUACAUUCAGAUCUUUGUGAAAUGAAUGGGGUGUUGACGAAGGGUGGAAAACGAUAUUUCAUAACAUUGAUUGAUGAUGCUACUAGAUUUUGCUAUGUGUACUUGUUGAAAACGAAAGACGAGGCUCUAGACUAUUUUAAAAUUUAUAAGGCAGAAGUUGAAAAUCAACUUGACAGAAAGAUAAAAAGGCUUAGGUCUGAUCGUGGUGGAGAGUUUUUCUCGAACGAGUUUGACUUAUUCUGUAAGGAACAUGGCAUCAUACAUGAGAGGACGCCUCCCUAUUCUCCCGAGUCUAAUGGGAUUGCUGAAAGGAAGAACCGCACACUGACUGACUUGGUGAAUGCCAUGUUGGACACCGCGGGACUGCCUAAGGCAUGGUGGGGGAGGCAUUGUUGACCUCAAAUCAUGUGUUAAACAGAGUUCCUAACAGAAAUAAGGACAAAACACCAUAUGAGAUAUGGAUUGGUAGAAAACCAUCACUUUCUUAUUUGCGCACAUGGGGGUGCUUGGCGAAAGUCAAUGUAUCAAUAACGAAGAAGCGCAAACUUGGACCUAAGACUGUGGACUGUGUUUUUCUGGGAUAUGCUCAUCAUAGCAUUGCCUAUAGAUUUUUAAUAGUUAAAUCCGAGGUACCGGACAUGCAUGUUGGUACAAUUAUGGAGUCUCGUGAUGCUACCUUCUUUGAGAGCUUUUUCCCAAUGAAGGAUACACAUAGUGGUUCGAACCAACCCUCUGAAAUAAUUCCCAGUUCAAUCACACCACCAGAACAAACUGAACAUACACAUGAACUUGUCUCUGAGGAGGAUGUCAGUGAAGCUCCUCGAAGGAGUAAGAGACAAAGGACGGCUAAGUCUUUUGGUGAUGAUUUCACUGUGUACCUCGUGGAUGACACUCCUAAGUCAAUUUCAGAAGCAUAUGCAUCUCCUGAUGCAGACUACUGGAAGGAGGCUGUCCGUAGUGAAAUGGAUUCCAUUAUCGCUAACGGGACUUGGGAGGUGACAGAGCGACCCUAUGGGUGUAAACCUGUGGGGUGCAAGUGGGUGUUCAAGAAGAAGCUUAGGCCUGACGGUACUAUUGAAAAGUACAAGGCUCGGCUUGUUGCUAAGGGCUAUACUCAGAAAGAAGGCGAAGAUUUCUUUGACACUUACUCACCUGUUGCUAGAUUGACCACAAUUCAUGUGCUACUUUCCCUAGCAGCCUCACAUGGUCUUGUCGUUCAUCAAAUGGACGUUAAGACAGCUUUUCUUAAUGGAGAGCUGGAUGAGGAGAUCUAUAUGGAUCAACCUGAUGGGUUUGUAGUUGAAGGUCAAGAAGGCAAAGUGUGCAAAUUGUUGAAGUCUUUGUAUGGUCUGAAACAAGCUCCUAAGCAAUGGCAUGAGAAAUUUGACAAAACAUUGACAUCUGCAGGCUUUGCAGUCAAUGAGGCAGAUAAAUGUGUGUACUAUCGCCAUGGUGGGGGUGAGGGAGUUAUUUUGUGCUUGUAUGUUGACGACAUACUGAUAUUUGGGACAAACCUUGAGGUGAUAAAUGAGGUUAAAUCAUUCUUGCCUCAAAAUUUUGAUAUGAAAGAUUUGGGAGUAGCUGAUGUUAUCUUAAACAUUAAGCUAAUUAGAGGUGAGAAUGGGAUUACACUCUUGCAGUCCCAUUAUGUGGAGAAGAUCUUGAAUCGCUUUGGCUACAUUGAUAGUAAGCCUUCUCCAACACCUUAUGAUCCUAGCUUGUUGCUUCGCAAGAACAAGAGAAUUGCUAGGAAUCAACUGGAAUACUCCCAAAUCAUUGGCUCGUUGAUGUACCUGGCUAGUGCAACUAGGCCUGAUAUCUCCUUUGCUGUGAGCAAGUUGAGCCGAUUUACCUCUAAUCCGGGAGAUGAUCACUGGCGUGCGCUUGAGCGAGUAAUGCGCUAUCUGAAAGGUACUGUGGAAUUGGGGCUUCACUAUACUGGGUAUCCUGCGGUACUGGAGGGUUAUAGUGAUUCUAACUGGAUCUCUGAUGUGGAUGAGAUCAAAGCCACUAGUGGAUAUGUUUUCACACUGGGUGGUGGUGCUGUUUCAUGGAGGUCUUGCAAACAGACAAUUUUGACGAGGUCAACCAUGGAAGCAGAGCUAACGGCACUGGAUACUGCUACUGUUGAGGCAGAAUGGCUGCGUGAUCUAUUAAUGGAUCUGCCUGUUGUUGAAAAACCGGUGCCGGCUAUCCUUAUGAACUGUGACAAUCAAACGGUAAUUGUCAAAGUGAAUAGUUCUAAGGAUAAUAUGAAAUCGUCUAGACAUGUGAAAAGACGAUUGAAGUCUGUCAGGAAAUUAAGAAACUCCGGAGUUAUAACGUUGGAUUACAUCCAAACAGCGAGAAACCUGGCAGAUCCCUUCACGAAGGGACUAUCACGAAAUGUGAUAGACAAUGCAUCGAAGGAGAUGGGUUUGAGACCCAUGUGAGUUAUACUAUGGUGGUAACCCAGUCUAUGUGAUCGGAGAUCCCGUGAAUUAGAUCCUGGGAAGAACAAACCAUUAAUAAACUAGAGGAGAGUACCAAUAUAUAUACCCUCUCCAAGUGAAGAUGCAUAUACUCUCGUGAGCUGCAAGGCAGGUUGGCUAUGCCUUAAUGAGUUCUGUUGGCUUUAAUUAGCAAAGAUGUUGUCCUGCAGAGCAUUCUUGAAAGAACUCACCUUUGUGAGCUUGACUGUUGGUCGCAGUCUAUGAAGAUUUUGGGUGAAUCUUCUAGGAAGCUUACUAAAGACCUAGGAGUAUGACUUAUACGCUCCACCCGAGGGGUAGUCUACAGACGGUCUAGUACCAGAUAAGACUUUGAGUGAAACUUGCUUGCACAAGACUUGCAAUUCAAGGCGUAGUCCAUUGUUCAAGUUGUGAGUAAGUGUAGCUUGGAGUUCUAGGUGGAUGUUCAACCUUAAUUGGUCUCCAUCGAACCGCUGGUAUAUAAACAGUACAUUGGAAAAGGCAAAUCUCAGUGGGAUUUUGAGAUUUGGUGGGGGAUUGUUGGAAUUAAUGAAUGGGCCUUAGCCCACUCGAAGAUUAAUUCUUUGGAAAAUCACAAAAGCCCACCUCAUGGGAUGGCAUGCAUGUGGAGUUUAGUACCACCUUGCUUAUUCUAGGAGAGGGGGACCUCCUUAAAAGGGAGGAUGCCCUCCUAGCCACUUGAAGCAUGUGUGGUGGAGAGAAGAGGGGAAACACACGCGCGCGCUCGCUCGCCUCGCCGGGCCGGGCCGGGCCGGGCAGGCGGCGCGCGUGCACGACGUACGCGUCGAAUGGUCCGAAAAAUUGGCUCCUCACCCUUGCGCAGAUGCAGCCUCCUUUUGCAGUUUUGUUUUGCUGCAAAUUCGGAUUCGUUUUUGUUUUGGAAACGUUCCGAAAAAUCCGGUGCGUGCAAACGGCGUGGAGUCCGGAUAAGUUACGCGCGACUUAUCCGGUUCGGUUACGCGCAGUAGAGAUCGUGCGGGCGCCCUGAUCAAGCGACCCUUCUCUAUAUAAACCGACUUGCCGUCUUCACGCAACACUUGCGAUAUCAAUCUAGGGUUUGUCUCCUACUCUGUACUGCGCCGUCGCUCGUAGACUACUCCAUCCCGCUCGCCGGCGUGCACCGGCGAUCGGGAGAGCAGGUCUCCGGAACCUCUGCCUUCGACGUUCUGCACCGGGAGAAGGCGGCAAUAAGGUUUUUGGGAAGCGCUUCGCGCGACUGCUCCCUGUUCGUUCGCGACGGCUCGCCUUCCUCUUCGCUCGCGUGUUUCGUGCCUUCGUAGACACCUGCGAAAAGUUUCGACCAAGCAACCGGUCUUUCCGUCACCUCGGUACGUGUUCAAUAUGUUGCGCAUAUUUGAUCUGUUCAUGUUGUACUGUGUAGUUUACAUGUAUAGAUCUAAUGAUGCGUUCAUGCUAGUUUUCAUCUGUAAUGUCAUGAUUUAUUUAUGGAAUAGAUUAAAUCAUUAUAUGUCUAUAAUCUCAACAGUCCAUCCGAUGCAGUUGAUAUUAUUAUAUUAUUGGCAAGUAUUAGUUUUUUUAGAUAAUGAAAUAUAAUAUCCCGGCCUUUGCUAAAAAAGAACUACAGCCAAUUAUUAUAAAGAUCCACUCCAGAAGAGAUGAUAGUUCAAGACAAGUUGAACACACCAAACAAGAGAAGAGAGGACCCAAACUGAGAAAAGCAAAACAAAAUGUGGAGCUAGAAGGCCUCGUCUAGGCUUAGGACUGAAGUUCGAAGCCAAUGCAUAGACCAAUGACAAUAUCCUUGCACGAAGAGGUUUCUCCAAAGCGGUGCCCCCAAGAAGGAUGCGACGUAGAUCGCCGCCACCGCUCGUUCGGAACCGAAGCAAGGUUUUCACCCGAAGAAUAUGGUAGGGAAAGAAAAGGGGUAUGCUAAAAUAACGCCUCCAAGAAGGGGAACGACGCUAAACGGCGUCGCCGUUGUCAGCCGGCCAAAUGGCUCGGCAAGGCUUUCGCCCGCGAUUCCCUGUCCAAACCCACACCAUCAAGUAUUAGUAUGAGUUAAUUAGAUAAAACUAUAUAAGAACUCUUCAAAGUAAAUAAAUAUGUAAGUUGGUGUAACGCCCCGAUUUUCGUUCGGGAUUUAAAAAAAUCAUUUGAUAAUGCAUUUUCUAGAAAUUAAAUAAAAGUUAAAUCAAUUUAAUCAAGUAAAAUAAUGGGAGAAUUAAAAUUUUCCCUUUAAAAAUCAUUGGCCGGGAAUAUUUUUUAUUAUUCUUUGUGCCCCAAAAUACUCUCCGGAUUUUUCCGCAAAUUUUCGGAGCUCAAGAAAUAAUUUUAAAGUCACAAAGAUCAUUUAACCAAUUAAAAUAAAAAGAAAACAAAUAAAAUCCUCCUUCCUCUCUUUGGGCCCUUUCGGCCCAAUCCCUCCUUUCUCUCCCGCGGCCCACGCGCCUCCUCCCUCUCUCGGGCCGGCUCCCUUCUCCCUUGGCCCACUCGCAAAAGUCUGUUUUGCGUUCCUCCUUCUCUCCCUCUCGGGCCGGCCUCCUCCCUCGGCCCGCUCGGCUCUCUCUCUCUCCCUCAAGUCUGCUUUACCUUCCUCGCCCGUUUUCCCCUCUCUCUCUCCCCGACAGGUGGGACCCGAGGCCCCACCUGUCAUCUUCUUCCCCAACCUCCCGUCGCCCCAACUGCCGCCAUGGCCGCCGGUUUCGCCCCACGACGCCGCGACUCCCGCGCUCCACCCCGCCCCACGAGCACGUGAAAUCGAUCCCCUCCACCUCCUCCACCUUUCCCCCCACUCUCCCCGCGAAAAUCGGCGCCGGUUAACCCCUCCACCACCCCACGUCGGCGCCCCACUUCGCCGGCCGAUUCCGCCACGUCCGGCCUUGAUCCCGCCUUCCCGAGCCCAUAAAAAGCACCCCCGUGCUCCCCUCAUCCAUUUCUCCUUGUUUCCCGAGCCCGGCACUCUCUCCCUCGCUCUCCCCACGCAGCUCCCGCGUGCCGCCACACUCCGGCGAACUCCGACCGCCGUUUCCCGUCGCUAGGGUCGCCGCCACACUGCUCCGCCGCCACCGCUGGCUUUGCCACCUCAAGGGCACGCUCGGCCGCCGUUUCUUCCUCCCCUUCCACCACGCGAACCACCUCUCCACCAUGCUCCCUCUCUCCAUCGGUCCCCGGUGAGCUCCGGCCACCUCUAGCCGCCGCCCUAGCCGCUGCCGCGCCGUGCCUUUUGCACCGCCGACUUCUCCGUGCCUCGCCGCACCCCGGCCUCCGCUCCGUUUCCCCAUUUAAUCGCCGCAACCACCCUUCCACCGUGCAUCCCAAGCCACCUCCACCCUACGCCGCCGGGCCGCCGUUCCGCCUUCGUCCCGAGGAGCGCCGACGCCGAGCUCCCCCGCCUUUCCCCGCCCCUCGUCGUCGCGUCCUUGGUGAGCUCCUUCUCUCCCUCCUUGCCUCCCUCCUCUGUCUCCCGUGCGUGCUGUCGCGCCGGUGGCCGCCGCCGGCGACCACCGGGCCGUGCGCCGCCGCCGUUAGGUCGGCCGGCCGGCUUGUCGCCGCCCCGCUCGCCUAGGCCGCCCGGAUCCCCUUGCCGCGCCGCGCCGUCGCUUUCCCGCGUGCGUCGGCCGUCGCCGCAGGAGGCCGCGCCGCCGUGAGCCGUCGCUCGGCCGGGCCAGCCUAAGCUGUGCCCGUGCUCAGCCGCGCCACCCCGUGGCCGCCCGAUCCGCUCGGGCUGAUCUGGGCCGUCGGUUCCCGUGGACCGACGGUGGACCACCCCGUGGUCCCGGUCCACGGUGGACCACUCCCUUGCCCGCUGUCGUGUGGGGCCCGCCUGUCGGCGCCGCUGCCCUUUGAUGAUGCCAGCAGGAGCCUUUUCCUUUGAUAAAAUAAAUAAUAAUUGCGCAAUAAUUCAUGAAUAAUUGUAGAAAUUCAUUUAAAUGGCUCAAAACUUCUAAAAUUCAUAUCUAAUUCAUUCGAACUCCGAAUUGAGCCAUUCAACUUGCAAAAUUCAUCUAAAAUUGAGCUCUACAUGUUUGUUUACUUUUUAUGUACUGUUUCCUUCAUUUUUAUUAGAGUUUUUCCUCGUUUUGCGUGCCAGCGUGUAGUUCCCGUCGUUUCGGAAGAUCGCG
rnacentral:lncRNA from 1 species